GAUGAACGCUGGCGGCGUGCCUAAUACAUGCAAGUCGAGCGAACGGACGAGAAGCUUGCUUCUCUGAUGUUAGCGGCGGACGGGUGAGUAACACGUGGAUAACCUACCUAUAAGAAUGGGAUAACUUCGGGAAACCGGAGCUAAUACCGGAUGAUAUUUUGAACCGCAUGGUUCAAAAGUGAAAGACGGUCUUGCUGUCACUUAUAGAUGGAUCCGCGCUGCAUUAGCUAGUUGGUAAGGUAACGGCGUACCAAGGCAACGAUGCAUAGCCGACCUGAGAGGGUGAUCGGCCACACAGGAACUAAGACACGGUCCAGACUCCUACGGGAGGCAGCAGUAGGGAAUCUUCCGCAAUGGGCGAAAGCCUGACGAAGCAACGCCGCGUGAGUAAUGAAGGUCUUCGGAUCGUAAAACUCUGUUAUUAGGGAAGAACAUAUGUGUAAGUAACUGUGCACAUCUUGACGGUACCUAAUCAGAAAGCCACGGCUAACUACGUG
rnacentral:rRNA from 1 species